rnacentral:rRNA from 1 species
GACGAACGCUGGCGGCGUGCUUAACACAUGCAAGUCGAACGAAGUGGUGAACGUGUGAGUAACGCGUAUUCCACCUGCCCUUCAGAGGGGGACAACAGUUGGAAACGACUGCUAAUACCGCAUACUGAAGGUCGGUAUUGCGUCUGAUUGGGGAGUUGGAGGGGUGACGGCCCACCAAGGCGAUGAUAGGUAGCCGGUCUGGGAGGAGGAACGGGCACAUUGGGACGGAGACACGGCCCAGACUCCUACGGGAGGCAGCGGUGGGGAAACUGGCGCAAUGGACGAAAGUCGGAAGGGGCAACGCCGCGUGCGUGAUGACGGCCUUCGGGUUGUAAAGCUCUGUUAAUCGGGACGCGGUACCGGAAGAGAAAGCCACGGCUAACUACGUGCCAGCAGCCGCGGUAAUAC